CCGCAAGGCAGUGGAGGUUUGAGAUCUGAGUUUUCUUUCUCCUGGAUGGAGUGACAAUGUUUGGCUAUAUUCAUGGGUAUUCAUGUAUUCAUGAAAGACAAUUAAACGUGAACGAUCACCUGUGUUGCAGCUCAGCAGCCUGCUAAAGAGAAAGACUUGGCAUAUGAAUCUUCAGAUUUACACCAGUUAGUCCUGACGAAGGGUCUCGGCCUGAAACGUCGACUGUACCUCUUCCUAGAAAUGCUGCCUGGCCUGCUGCGUUCACCAGCAACUUUGAUGUGUGUUGCAGGUACCAUAACCGAUGUGGACUUUGGUGACCAUGGUUUUCCAUAUCCUUCGUUUUUUGGAUGACUUCCACUUCCUCGAUGAGUAGCCACCUGGCUAUGCUUUUGAUGUACAUAAGCCGAGGCCUUCCUCUA